GGGUUCGGCAUGUCUAGUAUAAGCAUUAUACCGUGAAACUGCGAAUGGCUCAUUAAAUCAGUUAUCGUUUAUUUGAUAAUACCUUACUACUUGGAUAACCGUGGUAAUUCUAGAGCUAAUACAUGCUGAAAAUCCCGACUUCGGAAGGGAUGUGUUUAUUAGAUAAAAAACCAAUGCCCUUCGGGGCUUUUUGGUGAUUCAUGAUAACUUUACGGAUCGCAUAGCCUUGCGCUGGCGACGGUUCAUUCAAAUUUCUGCCCUAUCAACUUUCGAUGGUAAGGUAUUGGCUUACCAUGGUUUCAACGGGUAACGGGGAAUUAGGGUUCGAUUCCGGAGAGGGAGCCUGAGAAACGGCUACCACAUCCAAGGAAGGCAGCAGGCGCGCAAAUUACCCAAUCCCGACACGGGGAGGUAGUGACAAUAAAUACUGAUACAGGGCUCUUUUGGGUCUUGUAAUUGGAAUGAGUACAAUUUAAACCUCUUAACGAGGAACAAUUGGAGGGCAAGUCUGGUGCCAGCAGCCGCGGUAAUUCCAGCUCCAAUAGCGUAUAUAAAAGUUGUUGCAGUUAAAAAGCUCGUAGUUGAAACUUGGGCCUGGCUGGCGGGUCCGCCUCACCGCGUGCACUCGUCCGGCCGGGCCUUCCUUCUGAAGAACCUCAUGCCCUUCACUGGGCGUGCUGGGGAAUCAGGACUUUUACUUUGAAAAAAUUAGAGUGUUCAAAGCAGGCCUUUGCUCGAAUACGUUAGCAUGGAAUAAUAAAAUAGGGCGUGCGUUUCUAUUUUGUUGGUUUCUAGAGACGCCGCAAUGAUUAACAGGAACAGUCGGGGGCAUCAGUAUUCAGUUGUCAGAGGUGAAAUUCUUGGAUUUACUGAAGACUAACUACUGCGAAAGCAUUUGCCAAGGAUGUUUUCAUUAAUCAGUGAACGAAAGUUAGGGGAUCGAAGACGAUCAGAUACCGUCGUAGUCUUAACCGUAAACUAUGCCGACUAGGGAUCGGGCGAUGUUCUUUUUCUGACUCGCUCGGCACCUUACAAGAAAUCAAAGUUUUUGGGUUCUGGGGGGGAAUUAUGUUCGCAAGGGUGAAACUUAAGAAAAUUGACGGAAGGGCCCACCCGGG
rnacentral:rRNA from 1 species